ensembl:lncRNA
UUUUUUUUUUUUCUUUUUAGGGCCAUACCUGCAGCAUAUGGAAGUUCCCAUGCUAGGGGUCAAAUCAAAGCUGCAGCUGCCAGCCUAUGCCACAGCCACAGCAACAGAGGAUGUAAGCCAUGCCUGUGACCUACACUACAGCUCACAGCAAUACCAGAUUCCUGACCCAGUGAGCAAUACCAGGGAUCAAACCUACAUCCUCAUGGAUACUAGUCAGAUUGCUUUCCACUGUACCACAUUGGGAACUCCUCUUUAGUCUUAUUUUUUAAUUGGCCAUAACAGAGAAAUGACUGAAAGAAAAAUAUAAUAGUAUGUUGUGUGUUCAUAAUAUGUGUAAAAAUAAAAUACAUGACAAUAACAGCACAGAAUAUUAAAGGAAAGAAUUGAGAAUAUGCUAUUGAAAAUUUUAUGGAGUUCCUAUUGUGGCUCAUUGGGUUAAGGACAUGAUGUUGUCUCUGUGAGGAUGCAGGUAAAAUCACUGGUCUGGCUCAGUAGGUUAAGGAUCUGGCAUGCCUGCAAGUUGCGGCAUCAUUACAGAUGUAGCUUAGACCCCAUUCUGCCAUGGCUAUGGCAUAGGCACAGCUGCAGUUCCUAUUCAACUUAUGGCCUGGGAACUUCCAUAUACUGCAGGUAUGGCAAUAAAAAAAAAAUAGGAACACUUUAAAAAUUAAAAAUAAGGCAGGAAAAGAAGGAAAAAGAACAAAGAAUAACUGCUAAUGAAUUUAAAAAGCUAGGUGGAUAGUAGUCUUUAACCCAAAUAUAUCGAUUAUUAUAUUAAAUUGCCUAAAAACACCAAUUAAAUGUUAGAUUUUACAGUGGAUUAAAAAAAGCAAUAACAAGUACAUACUAUCCAUGGUAAAUCAACCUCAGUUAUAAAUAAUACGUUAAAAAACAAAAACAGAAAAAAGAUAUACCAUGUAAAUAAAAACCUAAAGAAAACUGAAGUAGCUGUAUUAAUAGCAGCAGAGAAAACAAUGGUACCCAGAGAAUAGAGAUAUAUUAAAUGAUGACAAAGGAGUCAAUACUUGGAGGGAAACUGAAUAUUCAUAUACCUAAUAACACAGCUACAAAAUAUAUGAGGCAAAAUCUGAUGAAACUGAAAGGAGAAAGAGACACAUCCAGAACUACAUUUGAAUACUUCAAUAUUUCUCUUUCAGCAAUUGCUAAAGCAGGUAGAUAUAAAACCAGUAAGGAUAUAGGAAAUCUGAAGAAUGCUAACAAUCAACUUUACCUGACAUUUCUAGAACAUUCCACCUAAUUAAAGCAGAAUACAUAUUCUUUCAAAUGUGCAUUGAACAUAAAAUUGACCAUGUUCUGCACUGUAAAACAAACCUCAGGAGUUCCUUUCAUGGCUCAGCAGUAACGAACCCAACUAGAAUCCAUGAGGAUGUGGGUUCAAUCCCUGGCCUUGCUCAAUGGGUUAAGGAUCUGGUGUUGCCAUGAGCUCUGUGUAGGUUGCAGAUGUGGCUCCAAUCCCAUGUUGUUGUACCUGUGGAGUAAGCUGGCAGGUGUAGCUCUGAUUUGAUUCCUAGCUUGUGAAUUUCCAUAUGCUGUGGGUGUGGCCCUUAAAAAAUAAAAUAAAACAGAUCUCAUCAAAUUUAAAGAAUUGAAAUUAUUCAAAGUGUGCUUAGGCCCAAACAGAAUUAAGUAGAAAUCAGUAAGAGAAAACCAUCCAGAAAAAUCACAAGAGGUGUGGAAACUCAACAACUCACCUCUAAAUAUUAGGUAUUCCACUGUUACUAAAAAAGAGAAAAUGCAAUAUUGGGGCAACAGUCUUUUCUAGAUACAGAUAUAGAAAUAGAGUAAUUAUGCUGUCAGAGUAUCUCCAUGUUAGGUCAUGGAAAAAAAGAGUAUUUAAAGCAGUUGUUAUGGACUGAAUCUUGUGUCCCCCAAAAUUCACAUGUUGAAGUCAUCUGAUUUGGAGAUAGGAUCUUUGUGAGUUAAUAAGGUUUAAAAGAGGCCAUGAGUGUGGGGCCAACAGGGUGGGAUUAGGGUCCUCAUAGAAAGAGGAAGAAAGACCAGAGCUCUCCGUCUCUUACCAUUAUGUGAGGACUCAGCUAGAAAGCAGUUGGAUGCAAGUCACGGAACAAGUUCUAAUUGGGAAGUGAGUCAGCUGGCACCUUGACCUUGGACUUCCCAGCCUUCUGAACUGUGAGGAAUAAAUGUCUCUUGUUUCAGCUAUUAGCCUAUGGUAUUUUGUUAAAGCAGCCUGAUUUAACUAAGGAUGGCACGUCAUAUUACUGAGAGAGAGGGAACUGCCACCUCAGUUCUACUCAGUCCACCAAAUCAUAUGUGUAUAUCCUUUUAAAAAGGUGCUGGAGUUAUUAGCCUUUUUCUGCUCUUUCUGCUCAAUGGCUCUUUUACCAAAGUUUUGGCUCUCUAAUAUAUAUAUCCAUUCCUCUUCUGCCCCUUAGAGUGCUGACUCAGCCCUUUUUGGUGAGGCAAAGGAUCAGAAGAGCAACUGAAAAAUUAGGCUGCUCCAACUCAUUCAAUACACCACCUGGAAAAUGACUUCUGCCACCUCUCAAUGUUAGGAAUCCCUCAAUCAGAAGAGUCUACAAGGCUGACCAGUAGAGCAGACAAGGCAGUAUGAGGUCUUUAACAUUUACCUAGUUAAGUUAAUGCCAUACAAGGCACAUGGAGGCCAUUCAGUGCCAUCACUGAGCUCCAUAUAUCCAGUAAUUCUUAUACUUUUGUGAUUAUAAGUUCAGUACCAUUGGCACACUUUUGACUUAAUAUCUAAAUAUCUUGAUGAUCAAGCCAUCAAUUUCAUCUAAUCCUACUGAAUCAAUAGAUUCUUUUAUGAAAAUAAUAUGUACAAUAUUCCUACAUAUACUUGAGUACAUAGUUUUAACUUCUCUUUCCAAAACCUCUAACCAAAUUCACUUCAUUAUUGAUAUUUAACCUAAGAUUUGCUCAUUCUCCAGCACACUAUAUUUCCUUUCCAAUUGAUGCUGCCUAUCAUUUCUUUGCUAUUAAUUCUUUCUUUUUAAUUAGAUGGUAAGCUCUAUAAUGCCAUCGAUAGUCACUUUUUUUCCCUGCUCAUUUAUUCCUAGCACCUGGCACAUUGGCUCAGUAAAUAUCUGCUGCAGGAUACAUCCCACAGAUUUUUUAUUUUCUCUCCCUCUCUCUGUGUCUCUCUGUCUCUGUCUCUCUGUCUCUCUCUCACAUACACACACACACACACACACACUCACAUGGGAGCUUCUGGCUUCUUUGCUAAUAUACAUGUACCAGGUUUUCUCUUGUAGCAUUUGACACAGUUAUCUCAUCAUAUUCAUCAGAUAUGCCAAUGCUUAUUAGCCUCGGGGCAAUGC